AAAGAUAUAUUUUGAAAGGUUUGAAGAAAAGAUAUAUUUUGAAAGGUUUGUAGAAAAGAUAUAUUUUGAAAGGUUUGUAGAAAAGAUAUAUUUUGAAAGGUUUGUAGAAAAGAUAUAUUUUGAAAGGUUUGUAGAAAAGAUAUAUUUUGAAAGGUCUGUAGAAAAGAUAUAUUUUGAAAGGUUUGUAGAAAAGAUAUAUUUUGAAAGGUUUGUAGAAAAGAUAUAUUUUGAAAGGUUUGUAGAAAAGAUAUAUUUUGAAAGCGUUUCCAUGACUGUUGAAGGUUUGUAGAAAAGAUAUAUUUUGAAAGGUUUGUAGAAAAGAUAUAUUUUGAAAGCGUUUCCAUGACUGUUGAAGGUUUGUAGAAAAGAUAUAUUUUGAAAGGUUUGUAGAAAAGAUAUAUUUUGAAAGCGUUUCCAUGACUGUUGAAGGUUUGUAGAAAAGAUAUAUUUUGAAAGGUUUGUAGAAAAGAUAUAUUUUGAAAGGUCUGUAGAAAAGAUAUAUU